CAGAUAUCUAUCUGCCUUCCUUCAUUGCCCCUGUUUAACAAAUGGGAAAAGUGGAACAGAGGAGGGGCUCCAGAUUUCACCAGGGUCCAGUAGUGGCACAAACAACCUGGACUGACUAAGCAUGGUAUUUCCCUCUCUGCUCCAGAAAGUGGCCCAUCAUACAUCACUGAGCUUGUGUAUGUGCAUAGGAGAGAGACAAACAGAGACAAAAACAGAGAAGCAAAGAGAAAGAAAAAAGUGAGAGAG